GAUGAACGCUGGCGGCGUGCUUAACACAUGCAAGUCGAACGGGAAACCUUUUAAUGAAGCUUCGGCAGAUUUAGCUGGUUUCUAGUGGCGGACGGGUGAGUAACGCGUGGGUAACCUGCCUUAUACAGGGGGAUAACAGUCAGAAAUGACUGCUAAUACCGCAUAAGCGCACAGGACCGCAUGGUCCGGUGUGAAAAACUCCGGUGGUAUAAGAUGGACCCGCGUUGGAUUAGCUUGUUGGUGGGGUAACGGCUCACCAAGGCGACGAUCCAUAGCCGGCCUGGGAGGGUGAGCGGCCACAUUGGGACUGAGACACGGCCCAGACUCCUACGGGAGGCAGCAGUGGGGAAUAUUGCACAAUGGGGGAAACCCUGAUGCAGCGACGCCGCGUGAAGGAAGAAGUAUCUCGGGAUGUAAACUUCUAUCAGCAGGGAAGAUAGUGACGGUACCUGACUAAGAAGCCCCGGCUAACUACGUG
rnacentral:rRNA from 1 species